AACUUUCAACAACGGAUCUCUUGGUUCUGGCAUCGAUGAAGAACGCAGCGAAAUGCGAUAAGUAAUGUGAAUUGCAGAAUUCAGUGAAUCAUCGAAUCUUUGAACGCACAUUGCGCCCGCCAGUAUUCUGGGGCGGGCAUGCCUGUCCGAGCGUCA
rnacentral:rRNA from 1 species